UACGUAGGGUGCAAGCGUUGUCCGGAAUUAUUGGGCGUAAAGAGCUCGUAGGCGGUCUGUUGCGUCGGCUGUGAAAACCCGGGGCUCAACCCCGGGCCUGCAGCCGAUACGGGCAGACUAGAGUUCGGCAGGGGAGACUGGAAUUCCUGGUGUAGCGGUGAAAUGCGCAGAUAUCAGGAGGAACACCGGUGGCGAAGGCGGGUCGCUGGGCCGAUAAUGACGCUGAGGAGCGAAAGCGUGGGAGCGAACAGG
rnacentral:rRNA from 1 species